UUUUUACUCCCUCCGUUCCAUAAUUCUUGUCUCAAAUUUGCCCAAAAAUAGAUGUACUCCCUCCUUUUCAUAAUUCUUGUCGAAAUCUUACAUGUAUCUAGACACCUUUUAGGAAUAGAUACAUCCAUUUUUGGGCAAAUUUGAGACAAGAAUUAUGGAACGAAGGGAGUAUAUU
rfam:Brachypodium distachyon strain Bd21 chromosome 3, whole genome shotgun sequence.